rnacentral:lncRNA from 1 species
ACUUUCAUUCUCCGUCUCAGACCGUCUCGACAUAUGAUGCUGCAAAACAAUUUGAAAUAGAAACUCAUUUAAUCCCUUCAUAUUCAAGAAAUGCAGAACCUGAAGAGUAUGUUUUUAAUCCAAGUAACACUUCAAAGUUUGACGGAUGUGAACCUGAGGAAAUCUCUUCUCGGUGGAUGAUGAAUCAUAGUGAUAACUUUGACACAUUUUCUCUUGAUGAGCAAACCAGAGUUGUAGCUAAUGAUGUUCAGGAACAAACUGGUGCAGCAUCAUCUUGUAUUACUUGGGAUGAAAAGAUAGAAAUAGUGGAACCUACAGGACCACAAUAUCAUUUUAAUGAAAAUGUGUAUGGUCACCCUACGAAUUCUGACCCAAUUCUUUUAGAGGGGGAUGCUUCUAAUUUUGAAACUGAAUGCUGCAGUAACAAAAGCCCACCAAAAUCAGUCUGUGCUGCACAUCAAUUUGAUGAGUAUGAGAGUGACAUAGACAUUUACAUGGAUUCACGUAAUACCAUGGAGUCAGAAUCUGAAACUGAUUUAGAAUGUCAAACGAAGCGAGAAGUGGAGCAGUAUUCAGAUAUGAACACCAUAGCAAUCGAUGAAAAUCUAAAUAGGAUUAACCCUGAGUACAUGGAAAGCAAUUCUGCAAAUGCUCCUACUCAUGUUCCACCUCGUAUCUCCACAGAUGGUGAUAUUUCAGACAACCACCACCACUCAUUUGUCCUUGAAUCUAGCUCUGUCCUAAGCAAAGAAAUAUCCACUGCUAAGCCCAUUUCCGUAACCCCAGUAUGUAAUGCACAGGUACAGUCUCGUGACACAGGCAAAUCUUCAAUUCUGGACAGUCUGUCUUCUAGUGAGUUAAUCGAUAGUGAUGAUAUGACUAGCUCCAAAACAGAAACUGCUGUCAGAAAUUUGUCGUCCUUUGACUCGAAUGAACUAGUAAUUCAGGCUUUAAACAGUGAUAAAGUCUUAAGCAAUGCAUAUGGGUCACAAGAUUCUCCGUCACUGCCUUCUGUUACUGGAACAAACUUUUGGACAAAUGGUGGACUACUGGGGCUUCAACCAUCAAAACCCCCUGACUUCAGUACGCCAGGUCCUAUGAAUCAUGACUCCAUGGGUCCAAGCCGAGGUAAAACUUUUGAGGGCAAUAAACUUGCACCAGAAACCGAUAUCUCUGAGGGUUUUAAAGUGCCUAAACAGAAAAGUAGCUCUAAACACUGCAUAUCGCUCUAUAAUGAUCAGGAAGAUAGUACCUCUGUCAUGAAAACAUCUUUGAGUUCUUCACAAACUCAUUCAGAAAGUAAAAAUCAACAUACUGCCAUUUGUCAGCAUAAUGAUAGUCAGUUCCAGAAUCUACUUUUCUCUGAAGCCAGUAUUAUGAUACCUGGAACUAAAAAACCGGAUAAUCUGAAUUUUGAAGCUGCUAAAUCUCUUGGAUAUAUUGACAAGAAUUCAUCUCGGAUUUUUGAAUUAAGCAAUGAAGUACUUGAUAACAGUCAAGGUAAAGUAUGUUUUUCUCUUGAGGACAAUCCUCUCAACUCUUUCACAAGUGGUAUAUCUGAAAGAAAUAGUGUGCAUCAAACAUUUCAAACCUUCUCUGAUAGGAUCUUCACAGAGCAGUUUGGAACUAAAUUUUCAUUCAUAUCACCGUCAUCUUCUCCACCGCUUGAACAUAUGAAGAUAUCUUUUCAGCCUAUAGAUGGAUUUGAGGUAUCAAAGCUGAAACUGGAUUUCCCUGGUGGAAAUGAGUCUCUAGAAGGUGGUAGAGAUGUCUUUCCUUCUUUUCAACUAGUCCCAGAAGUGUCUCUUUCAUUGCUGGACAUUAAUUCAGACUCUGAUGACACUUUUUGUGAUUCAAAUUCUCACGGGUCAGAUGAUUCUAUCACUCAUUACUCAGUGUCAUAUUUUGAAGAAUGGGGAACAAUAGAAUAUCCUAAAUGCGAUGAUAGUGAUAUGUCUGAUGCUUUAUGCAUAAACUCAAUAGAAUCAGUUUCAAGUAACUUGGAUUUUGGGAGAAUUGCUCCGGGAGUAAUCACCAGCAAUAGUGGACUUCCAAAUCUAUUUUAUGAGAAAGUUAUGGAACAUUCAGAAACAGAUCUUCCAAGUUUUGAUACUUUAGAUGAUUCAAUCAAUGAGGAAUUACAGAAUGAUUCUAAAGCAAAGAUUGAACUGGAUUCAGGACCACUUAAGGAUUCCACACUGUCACCUACUCUCCCUCCAACAGAGUGCGGUAUGAACGAAAAUCCAGAUAUGGCAACUGAGAACCAAGUUCCUUCUGUUAAAGCCCUAAAACAUGAAUUUGAUCAGAAGCUUCAAUUUUCCACAAUCUCCCACCAACAGAAAGUAGAACCAUUUAAUCAUGGAAAUAUGGAGACAAUUGGAUGUACGAAAAAUAAAAAGGUACUUACCUAAUUGUCAAUUUUCAUGCAACUAUAUCAUGUCUUGUGUUUCGGCUGUAACAUACUAAUAUAUGACGUACAAAGUUGUGCAUGUUGGAGAAACUACCAUAAACUACUCAUGGUUAUGUAUAUGAUAUAUGCAGCAUCCAGAUGGCCAGAAGCUCAAUUUACAGANUUCAUUCUCCGUCUCAGACCGUCUCGACAUAUGAUGCUGCAAAACAAUUUGAAAUAGAAACUCAUUUAAUCCCUUCAUAUUCAAGAAAUGCAGAACCUGAAGAGUAUGUUUUUAAUCCAAGUAACACUUCAAAGUUUGACGGAUGUGAACCUGAGGAAAUCUCUUCUCGGUGGAUGAUGAAUCAUAGUGAUAACUUUGACACAUUUUCUCUUGAUGAGCAAACCAGAGUUGUAGCUAAUGAUGUUCAGGAACAAACUGGUGCAGCAUCAUCUUGUAUUACUUGGGAUGAAAAGAUAGAAAUAGUGGAACCUACAGGACCACAAUAUCAUUUUAAUGAAAAUGUGUAUGGUCACCCUACGAAUUCUGACCCAAUUCUUUUAGAGGGGGAUGCUUCUAAUUUUGAAACUGAAUGCUGCAGUAACAAAAGCCCACCAAAAUCAGUCUGUGCUGCACAUCAAUUUGAUGAGUAUGAGAGUGACAUAGACAUUUACAUGGAUUCACGUAAUACCAUGGAGUCAGAAUCUGAAACUGAUUUAGAAUGUCAAACGAAGCGAGAAGUGGAGCAGUAUUCAGAUAUGAACACCAUAGCAAUCGAUGAAAAUCUAAAUAGGAUUAACCCUGAGUACAUGGAAAGCAAUUCUGCAAAUGCUCCUACUCAUGUUCCACCUCGUAUCUCCACAGAUGGUGAUAUUUCAGACAACCACCACCACUCAUUUGUCCUUGAAUCUAGCUCUGUCCUAAGCAAAGAAAUAUCCACUGCUAAGCCCAUUUCCGUAACCCCAGUAUGUAAUGCACAGGUACAGUCUCGUGACACAGGCAAAUCUUCAAUUCUGGACAGUCUGUCUUCUAGUGAGUUAAUCGAUAGUGAUGAUAUGACUAGCUCCAAAACAGAAACUGCUGUCAGAAAUUUGUCGUCCUUUGACUCGAAUGAACUAGUAAUUCAGGCUUUAAACAGUGAUAAAGUCUUAAGCAAUGCAUAUGGGUCACAAGAUUCUCCGUCACUGCCUUCUGUUACUGGAACAAACUUUUGGACAAAUGGUGGACUACUGGGGCUUCAACCAUCAAAACCCCCUGACUUCAGUACGCCAGGUCCUAUGAAUCAUGACUCCAUGGGUCCAAGCCGAGGUAAAACUUUUGAGGGCAAUAAACUUGCACCAGAAACCGAUAUCUCUGAGGGUUUUAAAGUGCCUAAACAGAAAAGUAGCUCUAAACACUGCAUAUCGCUCUAUAAUGAUCAGGAAGAUAGUACCUCUGUCAUGAAAACAUCUUUGAGUUCUUCACAAACUCAUUCAGAAAGUAAAAAUCAACAUACUGCCAUUUGUCAGCAUAAUGAUAGUCAGUUCCAGAAUCUACUUUUCUCUGAAGCCAGUAUUAUGAUACCUGGAACUAAAAAACCGGAUAAUCUGAAUUUUGAAGCUGCUAAAUCUCUUGGAUAUAUUGACAAGAAUUCAUCUCGGAUUUUUGAAUUAAGCAAUGAAGUACUUGAUAACAGUCAAGGUAAAGUAUGUUUUUCUCUUGAGGACAAUCCUCUCAACUCUUUCACAAGUGGUAUAUCUGAAAGAAAUAGUGUGCAUCAAACAUUUCAAACCUUCUCUGAUAGGAUCUUCACAGAGCAGUUUGGAACUAAAUUUUCAUUCAUAUCACCGUCAUCUUCUCCACCGCUUGAACAUAUGAAGAUAUCUUUUCAGCCUAUAGAUGGAUUUGAGGUAUCAAAGCUGAAACUGG